ACGCUCGACACCUACGGGGGCAGCAGUAGGGAAUCUUCCACAAUGGACGCAAGUCUGAUGGAGCAACGCCGCGUGAGUGAAGAAGGUUUUCGGAUCGUAAAGCUCUGUUGUUGGUGAAGAAGGAUAGAGGUAGUAACUGGCCUUUAUUUGACGGUAAUCAACCAGAAAGUCACGGCUAACUACGUGGCAGCAGCCGCGGUAAUCUGAGCGGGCUGGCAAGGC
rnacentral:rRNA from 1 species